rnacentral:rRNA from 1 species
CUACGGGAGGCAGCAGUGAGGAAUUUUCGGCAAUGGGCGCAAGCCUGACCGAGCAACGCCGCGUGCAGGAGGAAGGUCUUCGGAUCGUAAACUGCUUUUCUCUGGGACGAGGAUGGACGGUACCAGAGGAAGAAGCCCCGCUGACUACGUGCCAGCAGCCGCGGUAAUACGUAGGGGGCGAGCGUUGUCCGGAGUUACUGGGCGUAAAGCCCCCGCAGGCGGUCGGUCGCGUUUGAGGUAACAGCUCCUGGCUUACCUGGGAGAGCGUCUCAAAAACGGCUGACUUGAGGACCAGAGAGGGACACGGAAUUCCGGGUGUAGUGGUGAAAUGCGUAGAUAUCCGGAGGAACACCGAAGGCGCAGGCAGUGUCCUGGCUGGCACCUGACGCUCAGGGGCGAAAGCUAGGGGAGCGAACGGGAUUAGAUACCCCGGUAGUCCUAGCCGUAAACGAUGACCACUAGGUGUGCGGGGUAUCGACCCCCUGCGUGCCGUAGCUAA